CCAGCAGUACAAUGUGAUCCACCAGCAAGGAGGGACACCGUCAAGGUGUCUGAUAAGAGGGUUCCAUGAUCCCAGAGGGGAUCAAUUUGAUGGAAACAACCCAUUUAGGGCUGAGUGUUUCAAGGUCUAUUACUGUCUCCAUAAUAUUUGGCUGUGGGUCUCUAUAUUUGUUCCCAUCUGCUGCAGUAGGAAGCUUCCCUGAUGAUGAUUAAACAAGUCUUAAACAGAGAACCACCCAGAGCCUGCAAAAGCAGAAGCACAUGCACACAGCAAGAGUUCAUCCAGGACCUCCAGCAGAUGGCCAACCAUACUCACUCUUCAAGGACUAAUUGACUCCCCGGCUACAGUGGUACUCCAAGAUGGACAGGGACUAGAUACUCUUACAGCUUGAAAAGGUGGCCUUUGCCUCUUCCUCCAAAAGGAAAGUGGCAUCUAUGUCAACCAAUCAGGUUGAAUAUAAAACAAAAUCCAGCUACUACAAACAGCCCUCCAAAAAUGAAAAUGCAUGGAUCUAGAAGAAACCAUUCUGAGCAAGGUAACCCAAUCAUAAAAAGACAAGCAUGCUUUCAUCCAGCAGCUGGUGGAAGUAGAAGCAGACACCCACAACUAAUCACUGAACUGAACUGGAAUCCAGAUGCAGAGAAGGACGAGUGAAGAGCACAGGCAUCCAGACCAGGCUGGUGAAACCCAGAGAAACAGUUGACCUGAACAUCAGGGAACUCUUGCUCCCCAGACUGAUCCAAACCCCAGGAACAUGGGUUUCUGUGAGGAAACCUCAGAAAUCUAUGGGACCUCCUGUUGAAGUUCAGUACUUAUCCUUCGCAUAGGUGUGGACUUUGGGAGCCCAUUCCAUAUAGAGGAAUACUCCCUGAACCAAGACACAUGGGGGUGGGCCUAGGUCCUGUCCCAAAGGAUACGAUAGACACUGAUGACACCUUAUGGAAGGCCUCACCAUCCAGGGGG
rnacentral:lncRNA from 1 species